rnacentral:rRNA from 1 species
AUGCACCGUAGUUUACUACACCGUAUUCUGUGAGUUGCGAACGGGUGAGUAACGCGUAGGUAACCUGCCUGGUAGCGGGGGAUAACUAUUGGAAACGAUAGCUAAUACCGCAUAAGAACAUUUACUGCAUGGUAGAUGUUUAAAAGGUGCAAAUGCAUCACUACCAGAUGGACCUGCGUUGUAUUAGCUAGUAGGUGAGGUAACGGCUCACCUAGGCGACGAUACAUAGCCGACCUGAGAGGGUGAUCGGCCACACUGGGACUGAGACACGGCCCAGACUCCUACGGGAGGCAGCAGUAGGGAAUCUUCGGCAAUGGGGGGAACCCUGACCGAGCAACGCCGCGUGAGUGAAGAAGGUUUUCGGAUCGUAAAGCUCUGUUGUUAAGGAAGAACGAGUGUGAGAAUGGAAAGUUCAUACUGUGACGGUACUUAACCAGAAAGGGACGGCUAACUACGUGCCAGCAGCCGCGGUAAUACGUAGGUCCCGA